rnacentral:SRP_RNA from 1 species
GCCGGGCGCAGGGGCAUGUGCCUGUAGUACCAGCUACUCAGGAGGCUGAGGUGGGAGGAUCACAUGAGCCCAGGAGUUCUGGGCUGUAGUGCGCUAUGCCGAUCGGGUGUCCGCACUAAGUUCAGCAUCAAUAUGGUGGCUUCCCGGGAGCGGGGGACCACCAGGUUGCCUAAGGAGGGGUGAACUGGCCCAGGUCAGAAACAGAGCAGGUCCAAACUGCUGAUCAGUAGUGGGAUCGCGCCUGUGAAUAGCCACUGCACUCCAGCCUGAGCAACUUAUCGAGACCCCGUCUCU